AUUGAACGCUGGCGGCAUGCUUUACACAUGCAAGUCGAACGGCAGCGCGGGCUUCGGCCUGGCGGCGAGUGGCGAACGGGUGAGUAAUACAUCGGAACGUGCCCAGUAGUGGGGGAUAGCUCGGCGAAAACCGGAUUAAUACCGCAUACGACCUGAGGGUGAAAGCGGGGGAUCUUCGGACCUCGCGCUAUUGGAGCGGCCGAUGGCAGAUUAGCUAGUUGGUGGGGUAAAGGCCUACCAAGGCGACGAUCUGUAGCUGGUCUGAGAGGACGACCAGCCACACUGGGACUGAGACACGGCCCAGACUCCUACGGGAGGCAGCAGUGGGGAAUUUUGGACAAUGGGCGAAAGCCUGAUCCAGCAAUGCCGCGUGUGUGAUGAAGGCCUUCGGGUUGUAAAGCACUUUUGGCGGGAACGAAAAGGACUGUGCCAAUACCACGGUUCGAUGACGGUACCCGCAGAAUAAGCACCGGCUAACUACGUG
rnacentral:rRNA from 1 species